GAUGAACGCUGGCGGCGUGCCUAAUACAUGCAAGUCGAGCGAACAGACGAGGAGCUUGCUCCUCUGACGUUAGCGGCGGACGGGUGAGUAACACGUAGAUAACCUACCUAUAAGACUGGGAUAACUUCGGGAAACCGGAGCUAAUACCGGAUAAUAUAUUGAACCGCAUGGUUCAAUAGUGAAAGACGGUUUUGCUGUCACUUAUAGAUGGAUCCGCGCCGCAUUAGCUAGUUGGUAAGGUAACGGCUUACCAAGGCAACGAUGCGUAGCCGACCUGAGAGCGUGAUCGGCCACACUGGAACUGAGACACGGUCCAGACUCCUACGGGAGGCAGCAGUAGGGAAUCUUCCGCAAUGGGCGAAAGCCUGACGGAGCAACGCCGCGUGAGUGAUGAAGGUCUUCUGAUCGUAAAACUCUGUUAUUAGGGAAGAACAAAUGUGUAAGUAACUAUGCACGUCUUGACGGUACCUAAUCAGAAAGCCACGGCUAACUACGUG
rnacentral:rRNA from 1 species